AAAAAAAUUCGAACGGAUAUCGAAUAUCAAGCAAUGCAUUAGAAUAUAUUCGAAUAUCUACGAGCCCAGAUUCUUUCCUUACUGUAAUAUUGUUUGCUAGAAAGGCCAAUCUAUCAACUUGAUCUGGAACAAGUGCGGCUCUCUUUUUAUUGGUGAUAUUCCCCGCGGUGGAGAAUGCAUGUUUGGAGCGCUCACCUGGCGCGCGCGCGCGCACACACACACACUUCAACGGUUACUUUACCAUCUCCGGUGUAGAACCCAACAUAUUUCUCAACACUACUUUUUAGAUGAGUUUGGGUCGUAAUUGCAUGUCUGCUCAGGCUGGCUUUUCUGUGCAUUAUCUCUAGCUGCCAACUCUCACACAUAUUGGUUUUACACGCCACACCCCUGAUUUCUCAAGCUGAAUUGUCAACCCGGUCGGUCUAAUGCCUGAAAGAUGAUUUUAUCUAUAGAUAUACCGGCUUCCUGAUGCACGCAUAUUAGUUCAAAUCUCCCGCAAUCUAAAGCGUGCGCAUGCAAGACAGAGACUGUGCUCCGCAGCGCGCGCACACCAGAGAGGGAGAAUGGCAUUAAACUAAUCAUACACUGUAAAAUUGCGCUAUUACACGUCACUUUAAAAACCGAAUAGUUUAUUUAUGGUUCACGUCAUGUUCGAAUGUACAUUUGAAUAUUGAAUAAAAAGUGACAGCCCUAUUGUGUUGUGCAUUGUCAUUUGAGUGUGAUGAUAACUUUGAAUUUAUAUGCUAGGACAUCCCCCCCCAAAAGUGUCAGAGUGAUGUAUGCACAGGGGAUAGUAGCUUUGUUUCCCUGUCUAGAAGACCCAUACUCACAACAUGGAUAUGAACAUUACUACGAUCCAGAGAGUGGUUCGGGAUAUCUUUCAUGGCGAUUAAAGACCAUACAAAGAAAAACAGCAGAGGAAAGAGGUGCCUCAAUCAGCAUAUCUCCUAAAGUUGGUGGGCCAGGUCGUGGUCGUCAGCCCUGUACCUUUGACAGAGACCCAUCUGAUGAGGAUGUGGAAGCAGCUAUUUCUGUUUUGAGACACUCUGCUGAUGAAAAGACUGUCCGUGAGAAGAUGAAAGUGACCUUCAUAUAUCGGCAAGCAAUGGUCAACGAUGAAGCCAAAUCAUCAGAUGUCUUCUCUGUUUUUCCACGAUUUCUGGACACACCGGGACUGGUAUGACAUCUUAAUUCACAGCAUUACCAAAAUAUCCAAUGUAGCAUUAGGUUUCACUCAUCACUUCUGUCGAUGUGUGUUACAUUGCAGAUAGAACAAGAUUUCAGAUUUCUGUUUGGUGAGGCCACGGCCAACAAAUUAUUGGAAAAGUGGCCAACCACUUUUAAAGCAAAAGUAAUAAUGGGUUUGUAUAUCGCCAAAACUUGGUUAUCUGUGGCAAAGUUGAAUCUGAAGUGCCUGUGUUUUUUCAGAUUGAGUCAGUUCUGAUAAUGUGUGAAAAUCUGUUGCUACUCACAGUCCCUUUAGGUACAGUAACAUCUCAAGAACAUUUCCAUGCAUAUGAGGUGAUCAGGACAAAGCAGGAUUUAGUUUUUUUUCACGUCGACAACCUGCAUUACCCUAUGCCUUUUGACUUAAAAAUGUCAUAUGGAGGGAAUGACACAACUCUCUUUGUCGUGCCAUAUUGAUUUCUCUGGUAAACAGUUUGUGAUGUUAAUGAUGUUGUACAUGUUAUGUUUC